CAAUAGCGUAUAUUUAAGUUGCUGCAGUUAAAAAGCUCGUAGUUGGAUUUCGGGUGGGAAUGGCCGGUCCGCCGUUUCGGUGUGCACUUGCUACGCCCACCUUGCUGCCGGGGACGUGCUCUUGAGUUCACGCUCGGGACACGGAGUCGGCGAGGUUACUUUGAGUAAAUUAGAGUGUUCAAAGCAGGCCUACGCUCUGAAUACAUUAGCAUGGAAUAACACGAUAGGACUCUGGCCUAUCUUGUUGGUCUGUAGGACCGGAGUAAUGAUUAAGAGGGACAGUCGGGGGCACUCGUAUUUCAUUGUCAGAGGUGAAAUUCUUGGAUUUAUGAAAGACGAACUACUGCGAAAGUAUUUGCCAAGGAUGUUUUCAUUAA
rnacentral:rRNA from 1 species